rnacentral:lncRNA from 10 species
AUCAAACGCGUCCUGGCCUGUCCCGCCCCUCUCCCCAAGCGCGGGCCCGGCCAGCGGAAGCCCCUGCGCCCGCGCCAUGUCAAAGAAAAAAGGACUGAGUGCAGAAGAAAAGAGAACUCGCAUGAUGGAAAUAUUUUCUGAAACAAAAGAUGUAUUUCAAUUAAAAGACUUGGAGAAGAUUGCUCCCAAAGAGAAAGGCAUUAGUAAGUACCAAAGUUAUACUGGAAUGUUUUGGGAAAUAUACUGGGAUGUUUUGGGAAAUAUCUUAAUAUUCAUUAAGUCAUCUUUUCUGCAACAGUCU